UACGAAGGGGGCUAGCGUUGUUCGGAAUUACUGGGCGUAAAGCGUACGUAGGCGGAUUGUUAAGUGAGGGGUGAAAUCCCGAGGCUCAACCUCGGAACUGCCUUUCAUACUGGCAAUCUUGAGUCCGGGAGAGGUGAGUGGAACUCCUAGUGUAGAGGUGAAAUUCGUAGAUAUUAGGAAGAACACCAGUGGCGAAGGCGGCUCACUGGCCCGGGAACUGACGCUGAGGUACGAAAGCGUGGGGAGCAAACAGG
rnacentral:rRNA from 1 species